UGAAUACGAGAUGCUACGGCAUUGAAGCAGUGUAUGUCAGACUUCCAAGAAAAGCUCGCAAUGUCAUAAACAAUAAAUGCCUGUACCAUAACCGACACAGGUGGGUAGGUAGAGUAUACUAAGGGGCGCGAGAUAACUCUCUCUAAGGAACUCGGCAAAAUGACUCCGUAACUUCGGGAGAAGGAGUGCCUUAUUUUAUAAGGUUGCAAUAACAAGAUCCAAGCAACUGUUUACCAAAAACACAGGUCUCCGCUAAGUCGAAAGACGAUGUAUGGGGGCUGACGCCUGCCCAGUGCCAGAAGGUUAAAGAAGUUGGUUAGCUUCGGCGAAGCUGAUGACUGAAGCCCUGGUGAACGGCGGCCGUAACAAUAACGGUCCUAAGGUAGCGAAAUUCCUUGUCGGGUAAGUUCCGACCCGCACGAAAGGCGUAAUGAUUUGGAUACUGUCUCGGAGAGGGGCUCGGUGAAAUAGACUUGUCUGUGAAGAUGCGGACUACCUGCACCUGGACAGAAAGACCCUAUGAAGCUUUACUGUAACUUGAGAUUGAAAUUGGACUUUAUUUGCGCAUUAAAGGUGGGAGACGUUGAGAAUAUUCUUGCGGGAAUAUUGGAGUCAUCAGUGAGAUACCACUCUUGUAAUGUUAGAUUUCUAACUUUGUAUCAUUAUCUGGUCAAAGGACAGUUUCAGGCGGGCAGUUUGACUGGGGCGGUCGCCUCCUAAACGGUAACGGAGGCGCACAAAGGUUUCCUCUGAACGUGUAGAAAUCGUAUCUAGAGUGUAAAGGCAUAAGGAAGCUUGACUGUGAGACCUACAAGUCGAGCAGGGACGAAAGUCGGUCUUAGUGAUCUGACGGUGCUGAGUGGAAAGGCCGUCACUCAACGGAUAAAAGUUACUCUAGGAUAACAGGCUGAUCUCCCCCAAGAGUUCACAUCGACGGGGAGGUUUGGCACCUCGAUGUCGGCUCAUCGCAUCCUGGGGCGGUAGUACGUCCCAAGGGUUGGGCUGUUCGCCCAUGAAAGCGGUACGCGAGCUGGGUUCAGAACGUCGUGAGACAGUUCGGUCCAUAUCCGGUGUAGGCGUUAGAAUAUUGAGAGGAGCCUUCUUUAGUACGAGAGGACCGAGAAGGACAUACCUCUGGUGUACCAGUUAUCGUGCCAACGGUAAACGCUGGGUAGCUAUGUAUGGAGUGGAUAACCGCUGAAAGCAUCUAAGUGGGAAGCCCACCUCAAGAUAAGUAUUCCC
rnacentral:rRNA from 1 species